UGUACUGGAAAGUGCGCUUGGAAU
rnacentral:rRNA from 8 species